CUGGCGGCGUGCUUAACACAUGCAAGUCGAGCGAAGCACUUUGGAAAGAUUCUUCGGAUGAUUUCCUUUGUGACUGAGCGGCGGACGGGUGAGUAACGCGUGGGUAACCUGCCUCAUACGGGGGGAUAACAGUUAGAAAUGACUGCUAAUACCGCAUAAGACCACGGUACCGCAUGGUACAGUGGUAAAAACUCCGGUGGUAUGAGAUGGACCCGCGUCUGAUUAGGUAGUUGGUGGGGUAACGGCCUACCAAGCCGACGAUCAGUAGCCGACCUGAGAGGGUGACCGGCCACAUUGGGACUGAGACACGGCCCAGACUCCUACGGGAGGCAGCAGUGGGGAAUAUUGCACAAUGGAGGAAACUCUGAUGCAGCGACGCCGCGUGAAGGAUGAAGUAUUUCGGUAUGUAAACUUCUAUCAGCAGGGAAGAAAAUGACGGUACCUGACUAAGAAGCCCCGGCUAACUACGUGCCAGCAGCCGCGGUAAUACGUAGGGGGCAAGCGUUAUCCGGAUUUACUGGGUGUAAAGGGAGCGUAGACGGCACGGCAAGCCAGAUGUGAAAGCCCGGGGCUCAACCCCGGGACUGCAUUUGGAACUGCUGAGCUAGAGUGUCGGAGAGGCAAGUGGAAUUCCUAGUGUAGCGGUGAAAUGCGUAGAUAUUAGGAGGAACACCAGUGGCGAAGGCGGCUUGCUGGACGAUGACUGACGUUGAGGCUCGAAAGCGUGGGGAGCAAACAAGAUUGGUUACCCCUGGUAUUCCCCCCCCUUAAACGAAGAAUGGUUAGGUGUCGGGGGGCAAAGCCAUUCGGUGCCGCAGCUAACGCAAUAAGCAGUCCCCCUGGGGGAGUACGUUCGCAAGAAAGAAACUCAAAGGAAUUGACGGGGACCCGCACAAGCGGUGGAGCAUGUGGUUUAAUUCGAAGCAACGCGAAGAACCUUACCUGAUCUUGACAUCCCGAUGACCGCUUCGUAAUGGAGGCUUUUCUUCGGAACAUCGGUGACAGGUGGUGCAUGGUUGUCGUCAGCUCGUGUCGUGAGAUGUUGGGUUAAGUCCCGCAACGAGCGCGACCCCUAUCUUCAGUAGCCAGCAGGUUAAGCUGGGCACUCUGGAGAGACUGCCAGGGAUAACCUGGAGGAAGGUGGGGAUGACGUCAAAUCAUCAUGCCCCUUAUGACCAGGGCUACACACGUGCUACAAUGGCGUAAACAAAGAGAAGCGAACUCGCGAGGGUAAGCAAAUCUCAAAAAUAACGUCUCAGUUCGGAUUGUAGUCUGCAACUCGACUACAUGAAGCUGGAAUCGCUAGUAAUCGCAGAUCAGAAUGCUGCGGUGAAUACGUUCCCGGGUCUUGCACA
rnacentral:rRNA from 1 species